UAGGGAAUCUUCCGCAAUGGACGAAAGUCUGACGGAGCAACGCCGCGUGAGUGAAGAAGGAUUUCGGUUCGUAAAACUCUGUUGUUAGGGAAGAAAAAAUGUAUAGUAACUAUAUACAAAAGAGACGGUACCUAACCAGAAAGCCACGGCUAACUACGUGCCAGCAGCCGCGGUAAUACGUAGGUGGCAAGCGUUGUCCGGAAUUAUUGGGCGUAAAGCGCGCGAAGGUGGUUUAGAAAGUCUGAUGUGAAAGCCCACGGCUCAACCGUGGAGGGUCAUUGGAAACUAAUAAACUUGAGUGCAGGAGAGAAAAGUGGAAUUCCUAGUGUAGCGGUGAAAUGCGUAGAGAUUAGGAGGAACACCGGUGGCGAAAGCGGCUUUUUGGCCUGCAACUGACACUGAGGCGCGAAAGCGUGGGGAGCAAACAGG
rnacentral:rRNA from 1 species